rnacentral:rRNA from 1 species
UACAGAGGUCCCAAGCGUUGUUCGGAUUCAUUGGGCGUAAAGGGUGCGUAGGCGGCGCGGUAAGUCGGGUGUGAAAUCUUGGAGCUUAACUCCGAAACUGCAUUCGAUACUGCCGUGCUUGAGGACUGGAGAGGAGACUGGAAUUUACGGUGUAGCGGUGAAAUGCGUAGAUAUCGUAAGGAAGACCAGUGGCGAAGGCGGGUCUCUGGACAGUUCCUGACGCUGAGGCACGAAGGCCAGGGGAGCAAACGGGAUUAGAACCUACCGUGUCAGUCCAAGACCA